GUCAUCGUGUCCCAAUCGGUAGAGGGGCCAGGCCGAGAUCCUGGUGGUUGGAGGUUCGAAUCCUCCCGAUGACA
rnacentral:tRNA from 1 species